rnacentral:misc_RNA from 1 species
CCGAAUUGUCAACACGAGUUGUUGCUGGUCCUCAAAUGGGGGCAUGUGCACACUCUGUUUGCACAUCCACUCACACCUGUGCACCCUCCAUAGUUCUGCAGCCUGGGGGCUCUGUCCCCCCUGCUGUGGCUCUAUGUAUUUACACACACACACUGUGAUAAAGUCUUAUGGAAUGUAUGCCGCGUUUAACGCAAUACAAUA